rnacentral:rRNA from 1 species
AGCGAACGCUGGCGGCAGGCCUAACACAUGCAAGUCGAGCGGGCGUAGCAAUACGUCAGCGGCAGACGGGUGAGUAACGCGUGGGAACGUACCUUUUGGUUCGGAACAACACAGGGAAACUUGUGCUAAUACCGGAUAAGCCCUCACGGGGAAAGAUUUAUCGCCGAAAGAUCGGCCCGCGUCUGAUUAGCUAGUUGGUGAGGUAACGGCUCACCAAGGCGACGAUCAGUAGCUGGUCUGAGAGGAUGAUCAGCCACAUUGGGACUGAGACACGGCCCAAACUCCUACGGGAGGCAGCAGUGGGGAAUAUUGGACAAUGGGGGCAACCCUGAUCCAGCCAUGCCGCGUGAGUGAUGAAGGCCCUAGGGUUGUAAAGCUCUUUUGUGCGGGAAGAUAAUGACGGUACCGAAAGAAUAAGCCCCGGCUAACUUCGUG